rnacentral:rRNA from 1 species
CAGCCGUAAACAAUGUGCGUUAGGUGUGUCGGUAACCACGUGUUACUGAUGCGCCGAAGAGAAAUCGUGAAACGCACCACCUGGGAAGUACGGUCGCAAGGCUGAACUUAAAGGAUUGGCGGGGGAGCACCACAACAGGUGGAGCCUGCGGUUAAUUGGAUUCGACGCCGGACAUCUCACCGGAUAAGACAGCUGAAUGAUUGUCAAUCUGAAGGUUUUACAUGACUAGCUGAGAGGUGGUGCAUGGCGUCAGUGACU